GUGCUCACUUUGUCAGCACAUUUACUAAAAAUUGGAAUGAUACAGAGUAGAUUACCAUGGCCCCUGUGCAAGGAUGGCAUGCAAAUUCGUGAAGCGUUCCAUUAAAAA
ensembl:snRNA U6 U6 spliceosomal RNA